rnacentral:rRNA from 1 species
AUGAGUAAGGCACCAAAGAUGACUGGAAGCACUCAAAAAGUUUACCACGUUGGAGCUAUGUCAGGUUGUACAAGGGCAGUUAAUGAAUAUACUUGCGUUCCUUUUACUCUUAGUUUCAAGAAGACAUUAUUUGAUGUUAGAUGGCCAUUAUGUUCGUGUCAUGUGGACAGAGGACUAAUGGUACUCUUCCAUGAAGAGAAGCAAAUGGAUCAGUAUGUAGUAGCAGGUGCUUUGGAAAGUACAACUGUACAAUUAUGCGACAUAAUAAUGCCUGGAAAUUGGCCUAUGGCUGUAUCAUUUAAGAUAUUUUGGCGUCUCUGCCAUCCGAUGGUUGUUCAACUUCUCUUUUGA